AUGAUGGGCGGAAAACAUCCACAAACUUUGCUUACAGAUCAAUGCAGGUCCAUGGAGAUAGCAAUGGAGAAAGUGAUGCCAGAAACCACUCACCGCUGGUGCAAGUGGCACGUGCUGAAGAAGGCAAAGGAAUCUCUGGGACCAUACUACACAAAGCGCAACAAAUUCAGGUCAGAGUUCCACAAGAUAAUACAUCACAUGCUGACACUGGAGGAAUUCGAAACUGCAUGGAAGCAACUGACAGAAUCACAUGGCUUGGAAAAACAUCCUUACCUUACUCACAUCUAUGAAACAAGAGCAAAAUGGGCUAAACCAUACUUCAAAGGGAAGCAAGUGAAAACUAUGAGGAGAGACGCACAAAAAUUGUAG
rnacentral:rRNA from 1 species